rnacentral:rRNA from 1 species
GAUGAACGCUGGCGGCGUGCUUAACACAUGCAAGUCGAACGGACCCAUAUUGAAACCUAGUGAUAUAUGGGUUAGUGGCGGACGGGUGAGUAACGCGUGGGUAACCUGCCUUACACAGGGGGAUAACACUUAGAAAUAGGUGCUAAAACCGCAUAAGCGCACAGCUUCGCAUGAAGCGGUGUGAAAAACUCCGGUGGUGUAAGAUGGACCCGCGUCUGAUUAGCUUGUUGGCGGGGUAACGGCCCACCAAGGCGACGAUCAGUAGCCGGCCUGAGAGGGCGGACGGCCACAUUGGGACUGAGACACGGCCCAGACUCCUACGGGAGGCAGCAGUGGGGAAUAUUGCACAAUGGGGGAAACCCUGAUGCAGCGACGCCGCGUGAGUGAAGAAGUAAUUCGUUACGUAAAGCUCUAUCAGCAGGGAAGAAAAUGACGGUACCUGAGUAAGAAGCCCCGGCUAACUACGUGCCAGCAGCCGCGGUAAUACGUAGGGGGCAAGCGUUAUCCGGAUUUACUGGGUGUAAAGGGAGCGUAGACGGUGCGCCAAGUCUGGAGUGAAAUGCCGCAGCUUAACUGCGGAACUGCUUUGGAAACUGGCGAACUAGAGUGCGGGAGGGGUAAGCGGAAUUCCUAGUGUAGCGGUGAAAUGCGUAGAUAUUAGGAGGAACACCGGUGGCGAAGGCGGCUUACUGGACCGUAACUGACGUUGAGGCUCGAAAGCGUGGGGAGCAAACAGGAUUAGAUACCCUGGUAGUCCACGCCGUAAACGAUGAUUACUAGUGUCGGGGACCCAAGGGGUCUCCGGUGCCGCCCGCAAACGCAUUAAGUAAUCCACCUGGGGAGUACGUUCGCAAGAAAUGAAACUCAAAGGAAUUGACGGGGGACCCGCACAAGCGGUGGAGCAUGUGGUUUUUCGAAGCACCGAAGAACCUUACCUGCCCUUGACAUCCGGAUGAAUAAGGGGUAAUGCCCUUAGCCCUUCGGGGCAUCCGAGACAGGUGGUGCAUGGUUGUCGUCAGCUCGUGUCGUGAGAUGUUGGGUUAAGUCCCGCAACGAGCCAACCCCUAUCUUCAGUAGCCAGCAUUCAGGAUGGGAACUUUGGAGAGACUGCACACCGGGAGGAAGGCGGGGAUGACGUCAAAUCAUCAUGCCCCUUAUGGGCAGGGCUACACACGUGCUACAAUGGCGAAAACAGAGGGAAGCGAGCCGGUGACGGUAAGCAAACCCCAAAAACAUCGUCCCAGUUCGGACUGUAGUCUGCAACCCGACUACACGAAGCCGGAAUCGCUAGUAAUCGCGGAUCAGAAUGCCGCGGUGAAUACGUUCCCGGGUCUUGUACACACCGCCCGUCACACCAUGGGAGUCGGAAAUGCCCGAAGUCAGUGACCUAACCUUUAAGGGAGGAGCUGCCGAAGGAGUAACUGGGGUG